rnacentral:tRNA from 1 species
AGCAGUGUGGCUCAGUGGAAAGAGCCCGGCCUCGGGAGUCAGAGGGUCGUGGGUUCGACUCCCGGCUCUGCCG